UUUUAUGGAGAGUUUGAUCCUGGCUCAGGAUGAACGCUGGCGGCGUGCCUAAUACAUGCAAGUCGAGCGAACGGACGAGAAGCUUGCUUCUCUGAUGUUAGCGGCGGACGGGUGAGUAACACGUGGAUAACCUACCUAUAAGACUGGGAUAACUUCGGGAAACCGGGGCUAAUACCGGAUAAUCUUUUGAACCGCAUGGGUCAAAAGUGAAAGACGGUCUUGCUGUCUCUUAUAGAUGGA
rnacentral:rRNA from 1 species